GCUGCUGUCGAAGUUCCAUCUACAAACGGAUAAUACUUUGGUAUUAGUGUAUACGAGUCGUUGAAGGAUCAAUACCAAACUUCUUAAUAGAACAAGAAGUUUGGUAUUGAUCCAUUUGGUUCAGUAGUGUUUUAUUCACAUAAUCGUUUUUCAUUUUCAUUUCUUUUAUUCAACUUAUGAAAACCGCUGGUUAUUUCAUGAUCGAAUAUCGUAGUUUCUUCUGUACCAACCUGCAAUUUAUAUACUCUUAUUCUUCAAAAGAAAAGCAUUUUUCUUUUUUUUUUUUUUAUGUCCAACAUUUUGUAUUAUGUACAAUAUCUGUAUUUCAGCAGGAAGGAGAGUGAAGUAAUAAAGACUAAAUAAAAAAAUAAUGAAUGGUGAAAAUGGAAUCCUUUUGAGAGAGAGGAGGGGCGGAUGUAGCCAAGUGGAUCAAGGCAGUGGAUUUGUGAAU
rnacentral:misc_RNA from 1 species